GAUGAACGCUAGCGGCAGGCUUAAUACAUGCAAGUCGAGGGACAGCACAGGUAGCAAUACUGGGUGGUAACCGGCAAACGGGUGCGGAACACGUACACAACCUUCCUUUAAGUGGGGGAUAGCCCAGAGAAAUUUGGAUUAAUACCCCGUAAUAUAGUUGAAUGGCAUCACUUGAUUAUUAUAGCUACGGCGCUUAAUGAUGGGUGUGCGGCUGAUUAGAUAGUUGGCGGGAUAACGGCCCACCAAGUCUACGAUCAGUAGCUGAUGUGAGAGCAUGAUCAGCCAAACGGGCACUGAGACACGGGCCCGACUCCUACGGGAGGCAGCAGUAAGGAAUAUUGGUCAAUGGACGCAAGUCUGAACCAGCCAUGCCGCGUGAAGGAUUAAGGUCCUCUGGAUUGUAAACUUCUUUUAUUUGGGACGAAAAAGGGCCUUUCUAGGUCAACUGACGGUACCAGAUGAAUAAGCACCGGCUAACUCCGUGCCAGCCGCCGCCGUAAAAC
rnacentral:rRNA from 1 species